CUAGAGUCCAAGAUUCCAGUAGUGCUAGCCUAGACAGCAGUGGCAGCCACCUAGAACCCAGAUGUCAUUAGUCUUCACAAGACAAGAGAGCCACAAAAGUACGCCUUGCAUUGGCUCCAUCAUUGGCAAAGCAGAUUAAUUCAGAUCUGCACUAUGUACAUCUUUCCCACGAAGGAUGACCAAAUUAGCAAUGGAAGUGUUAAAAUGAAACUCCUUGUUGAGAGACAUUUUAC